rnacentral:rRNA from 1 species
GUAACAUGGAUUGCUUGCAAUCUGAUGACGAGUGGCGCACGGGUGCGUAACGCGUAUGCAAUCUACCUUUUACAGGAGAAUAGCCCAGAGAAAUUUGGAAUAAUGCUCCAUAAUAUCAUUUAUCAGCAUUGGUUUAUGAUUAAAGCUCCGGCGGUAAAAGAUGAGCAUGCGUUCUAUUAGCUAGUAGGUGAGGUAACGGCUCACCUAGGCUACGAUAGAUAGGGGCCCUGAGAGGGGGAUCCCCCACACUGGUACUGAGACACGGACCAGACUCCUACGGGAGGCAGCAGUGAGGAAUAUUGGACAAUGGAGGAAACUCUGAUCCAGCCAUGCCGCGUGCAGGAUGACUGCCCUAUGGGUUGUAAACUGCUUUUAUAUAGGAAGAAACACUCCCACGUGUGGGGGCUUGACGGUACUAUAUGAAUAAGGAUCGGCUAACUCCGUGCCAGCAGCCGCGGUAAUACGGAGGAUCCAAGCGUUACCCGGAAUCAUUGGGUUUAAAGGGUCCGCAGGCGGCCUGUUAAGUCAGAGGUGAAAUCCUACAGCUCAACUGUAGAACUGCCUUUGAUACUGAUAGGCUGGAGUUAUUGUGAAGUGGUUAGAAUGUGUGGUGUAGCGGUGAAAUGCUUAGAUAUCACACAGAAUACCCAUUGCGAAGGCAGAUCACUAACAAUAUACUGACGCUCAUGGACGAAAGCGUGGGGAGCGAACGGGAUUAGAUACCCCGGUAGUCCACGCCGUAAACGAUGGAUACUAACUGUUCGACCUUCGGGUUGAGUGGUCAAGCGAAAGUGAUAAGUAUCCCACCUGGGGAG